rnacentral:rRNA from 1 species
GACGAACGCUGGCGGCGUGCUUAACACAUGCAAGUCGAGCGGUAAGGCCCUUUCGGGGUACGACGAGCGGCGAACGGGUGAGUAACACGUGGGUGACCUGCCCUCAGCUCUGGGAUAAGCCUGGGAAACCGGGUCUAAUACUGGAUAUGACUCCAUGACGCAUGUUGUGGGGUGGAAAGCCUUGUGCGGCUGAGGAUGGGCCCGCGGCCUAUCAGCUUGUUGGUGGGG